CAGAUAUUACUGAAUCAAACUGUAGUAUUUUGAUUUUUUUAAAUUUAUUUUGUGAUAGGGUCUUACUAUGUUGCACCGGCUGGUCCCGAACUAGGUGCUCAUAUUGAUCUCUUGGCCUAAGUUACCUGAUAUCUGGGAUUACUGGUUCAUACCACAGUAUGUGGCUUAGAUUAUUUAUAUAUUGAUGUUUUCAGAGACGGUCUCAAUGUGUGCCCCAGGCUUGCCUUGAACCCAUGGUGGCCCUCCCGUUUCUGCCUCUCACAUGUUGGGUGUACCACCAUGCUUGAUUUCAGAAUUUAAAAACACCGUAGAGCCCUUUUCUGUUUAUACCUCCCUCAGAUUUGCAGUUAUGCAUCAGUAAAAGUUUUUUUUUUCUUUGUUGGUUGAAUAAGCAAUCAAACACAAUUAAGGAAUCUGUUUUGGACAUAUAAAGUCAGCUAUAAAUCAGUCCAGUUGUUUCUAGAGAUAGCUGAAGUUGAAUUAAACGUUAAGAAAUAUGAGUAAGUCAUUAAAUUAAGAAGAACUUUGAAGAUCCCAGCAGUAGUGGUGCAUACCUUUAGCCUGAACUCGGGAGGUAGAGGUAGGUGGAUCUUGAGUUUGAGGCCAGCCUUGUCUACAGAGAGAGUUCCUGGACAGCCAGACUACAUAAAGAAGCCCUCUCUCAAAAAGAAAAAGAAAAAAAAUAACUUGAGAGCUGGAGAGAGAGGAGUCUGCAGUGUAGAGCAGAAACUGCUCUUAUAAAGGACCUGAGUUAGGUUUCUGACACUUGUGUUGAGUGGCUUACAACCACCUGUAAUUCCAGUCCCAGGCAAUCUAACACCUCUGGCUUGUAUAGGAACCAGCACUCAUAUGCAGGUACCCCUAAACAAACACAUACAUCAUAUAUACAUACAUACAUACAAACAUAAUUAAGAAUAAAUGUUUGCAGAAGGUAAACUUUCUAAAAAAAUUUUUGAGGCUAAGUAUAGUGGUGUAUAUACCUGAAAUGUUAGCACCUGAAAGGCUGAGACAGGAGGACACAUAAGUUCCUGUCUAUAAAAAAGAAAGAAAACAUCAACUCUAGAAAUUAUCUUAUGCUACUGAAUGUAUUUUUCUCAAGCAUGAAGGUGCUCGCUCAAGAAAGCAACAAAAAUAAUGGGGGUGUUUUGUUUUCUUUCAUAGUGGUUCUAUAGAUGGUAAUAACCAACUUGUAAUCAAAGGAAGAUUCCAACAGAAACAGAUAGAAAACGUCUUGAGAAGAUAUAUCAAGGAAUACGUCACUUGUCACACAUGCCGGUCACCGGACACAAUCCUACAGAAGGACACCCGACUCUAUUUCUUACAGUGUGAAACUUGUCAUUCUCGAUGCUCUGUGGCCAGUAUCAAAACUGGCUUCCAGGCUGUCACAGGCAAGCGAGCACAGCUCCGUGCCAAAGCUAACUAAUUUGCUAAUCACCAUUGAUUUUUUCAAAAUGUGGUGGAGAUUUGGCUGGACAGGUUACCAUCAGAGUGGAUGUACCAUUGAGUUAAAAACAAGAUAGAAACUGCCAAGUUCUUUGGCGAGUGAUUGUUCUGAAAUCCUUGCAAGAUACCGGUAUUCAAGCUGUUGAUAUACUCGUUGCCUACUUUAACAACUGUCAGAGAAACGUGAUGGAGUAAGGAGGUGCUUCUUAAAAUCGUUCAUAGACUUCUGUAAAAUGCAAGAUAAAUUAAAGUUAUUAUAACAGUAA
rnacentral:lncRNA from 1 species